rnacentral:rRNA from 1 species
UAGGGAAUCUUCCACAAUGACGAAAGUCUGAUGGAGCAACGCCGCGUGAGUGAAGAAGGGUUUCGGCUCGUAAAGCUCUGUUGGUAGUGAAGAAAGAUAGAGGUAGUAACUGGCCUUUAUUUGACGGUAAUUACUUAGAAAGUCACGGCUAACUACGUGCC